GACGAACGCUGGCGGCGUGCUUAACACAUGCAAGUCGAACGGUAAGGCCCUUCGGGGUACACGAGUGGCGAACGGGUGAGUAACACGUGGGUGAUCUGCCCUGCACUUCGGGAUAAGCCUGGGAAACUGGGACUAAUACCGGAUAGGACCACUGCCUGCAUGGGUGGUGGUGGAAAGCUUUUGCGGUGUGGGAUGGGCCCGCGGCCUAUCAGUUUGUUGGUGGGGGUAUGGCCUACCAAGGCGCCGACGGGUAGCCGGCCUGCGAGGGUGACCGGCCACACUGGGACUGAGAUCCGGCCCAGACUCCUACGGGAGGCAGCAGUGGGGAAUGUUGCGCAAGGGGCGAAAGCCUGACGCAGCAACGCCGCGUGCGGGAUGACGGCCUUCGGGUUGUAAACCGCUUUCAGCAGGGAAGAAGCCGCAAGGUGACGGUACCUGCAGAAGAAGCACCGGCUAACUACGUGCCAGCCGCCGCCGUAA
rnacentral:rRNA from 1 species